GCGUUGUCCGGAUUUAUUGGGCGUAAAGAGCGUGUAGGCGGCCAUGUAGGUCCGUUGUGAAAACUCGAGGCUCAACCUCGAGACGCCGAUGGAAACCAUCUGGCUAGAGUCCGGAAGAGGAGAGUGGAAUUCCUGGUGUAGCGGUGAAAUGCGCAGAUAUCAGGAAGAACCCCCGUGGCGAAGGCGGCUCUCUGGGACGGUACUGACGCUGAGACGCGAAAGCGUGGGGAGCGAACAGG
rnacentral:rRNA from 1 species